rnacentral:sRNA from 1 species
GGGAUUAAAUUCAAUUGCACUGAGAGAAGGGAGCAGAGAAUACAACGAACUAUUGUUUUCUACUUUGUGACAGGGGAGUAACAACAAGGGUUGUCUACACAAUCAAUCAAAGAACAUGGUUAGAGAGGCAAUUUUCCUGUUUUUGCUUGCCAUUUUAUCGUUUGUGAUGGGGCAGAAUGAUACCACUGCCGCGCCUGAUAACGGCACCAAUUCUUUAUCUGGAUUGUGGACAGUGUUCCUGGCCGUUGCUGUUCUUCUUCUACGUCAUUUCCGCUGAGACUGUCAGUUUGAAUUACAAAUUGAUGAUGUAUAUUGAAUAAAGCUUGUUUCUUU